rnacentral:lncRNA from 1 species
AAAAAAUAAAAAAAAAUAAAAGAGAGAGAGGGAGAGAGAAAUAAAAUUAACACGGAUGUAAUGGAUUAAAGAAUUCAACAAAGGUCGUUCGGUGGUAUAGUUUGUCUGGAUAAGAGUGCAUAGAUAUGAGCUAUUGUUCUCAUCACUUGACUCAAUUAGACGGUCAAUCGGAGUUACGUAACACGCAAAAUAUUUGCCUACCUAAUGUUCACGUUAUUGCUAGAUAGCAAGAGACUAACGAUUAAACACCCUACCUUGAACAACGAUUUAGCCAAUGAAUGAGCGAUGUUGUCGACAAUACACCAUCAUCACCAUCACCACCACUAUUACCACAACCCACAACCAUUACACCAAUCACGUUAAACCAUCAUUGAUGGGAACAAGCGUUCAACGUCGGUGCAAUAAUAAAUGCGUAUGUACCAUUUAUAUGGGAAGGAAAAAAAUAAAAAAAAAAAUAAAGAAGAA